AAAGAAUUAGUUAAUUUAUAACAUUAGAAUGUCAAACUAAAAUUAUUAAUAAUAUUAAUAUUCUUUA
rnacentral:tRNA from 1 species